CUCACAAGCUUCAGUUCAGGUGGUUAUAUAUUCUCAUUCCCAUCCUUGGAGCAGAUGCUGGUGAAAGAAUGCCCCAAGAUGAAAAUGUUCUCUCCAAGCCUCCUAACUACACCAAGGCUAGAAAGAAUAAAAGUGGGAGAUGAUAAGUGGCCUCGGCAGGAUGAUCUAAAUACCACCAUCCAUAAUUCGUUUAUAAAUGCACAUGGUAAUGUUGAGGCUAAGAUUGUGGAAUUGGGAGCUGGUUCAGCAUUAUGAUUACAUCAUGUUUUGUUCUUGGGAAUGUUACUCUUUGGUUGGAUUGAUUCCAUGUUAAUGAAAUAUGUAUCACUCUAUCUCAAUCUAUUUGGUUAUAUUUUAGGUUUAUAUAGAUUUGUUGGAUUGUAUGAAGUUUUCCACAUUGUUCAUAAUUAUUGAAAUUUCUUCAUAAUUAUGGAUGGUCA